rnacentral:rRNA from 1 species
AUGCAAGUCGAGGGGCAGCAUGGUCUUAGCUUGCUAAGACUGAUGGCGACCGGCGCACGGGUGAGUAACACGUAUCCAACCUGCCGUCUACUCUUGGACAGCCUUCUGAAAGGAAGAUUAAUACAAGAUGGCAUCAUGAGUCCGCAUGUUCACAUGAUUAAAGGUAUUCCGGUAGACGAUGGGGAUGCGUUCCAUUAGAUAGUAGGCGGGGUAACGGCCCACCUAGUCUUCGAUGGAUAGGGGUUCUGAGAGGAAGGUCCCCCACAUUGGAACUGAGACACGGUCCAAACUCCUACGGGAGGCAGCAGUGAGGAAUAUUGGUCAAUGGGCGAGAGCCUGAACCAGCCAAGUAGCGUGAAGGAUGACUGCCCUAUGGGUUGUAAACUUCUUUUAUAAAGGAAUAAAGUCGGGUAUGCAUACCCGUUUGCAUGUACUUUAUGAAUAAGGAUCGGCUAACUCCGUGCCAGCAGCCGCGGUAAUACGGAGGAUCCGAGCGUUAUCCGGAUUUAUUGGGUUUAAAGGGAGCGUAGAUGGAUGUUUAAGUCAGUUGUGAAAGUUUGCGGCUCAACCGUAAAAUUGCAGUUGAUACUGGAUAUCUUGAGUGCAGUUGAGGCAGGCGGAAUUCGUGGUGUAGCGGUGAAAUGCUUAGAUAUCACGAAGAACUCCGAUUGCGAAGGCAGCCUGCUAAGCUGCAACUGACAUUGAGGCUCGAAAGUGUGGGUAUCAAACAGGAUUAGAUACCCUGGUAGUCCACACGGUAAACGAUGAAUACUCGCUGUUUGCGAUAUACUGCAAGCGGCCAAGCGAAAGCGUUAAGUAUUCCACCUGGGAAGUACGCCGG